rnacentral:rRNA from 1 species
GCGAGAAAUUUUAUAUUCAAGCCUUCGGGUAAGAAUAUAAAAUGGAGAGCGGCAAACGGGUGAGUAACACGUAGGUAAUAUACCUAUCAGAGGCGGAUAAUUCCGGGAAACUGGUUGUAAUACUCCAUAUAAUCAUAUUUUGAUGAAAUAUGAUGAAAGAUUUAAUCGCUGAUAGAUUAGCCUGUGGGCCAUUAGCUUGUUGGUGAGGUAAAUGCUCACCAAGGCUAUGAUGGCUAGCCGACCUGAAAGGGUGAUCGGCCACACUGGGACUGAGACACGGCCCAGACUCCUACGGGAGGCUGCAGUGGGGAAUCUUGCGCAAUGGGUGAAAGCCUGACGCAGCAACGCCGCGUGAAGGACGAAGUCCUUCGGGAUGUAAACUUCUUUUAGGAGGGAAGAAAUGCCCGCUUGACGGGAGCUGACGGUACCUCCAGAAAAAGCACCGGCUAACUCCGUGCCAGCAGCCGCGGUAAUACGGAGGGUGCAAGCGUUGUCCGGAAUCACUAGGCGUAAAGCGCACGUAGGCGUUUUUGCAAGUCGGUUGUGAAAGUUCUCUGCUUAACGGAGAAAAGUCAACCGAAACUGCAAAAAUUGAGAGUAAGAGAGGAGAGCGGAAUUCCUGGAGGAGCGGUGAAAUGCGUAGAUUUCAGGGAGAACACCUAUAGCGAAGGCAGCUCUCUGGCUUACUUCUGACGCUGAGGUGCGAAAGCGUGGGUAGCGAACCGGAUUAGAUACCCGGGUAGUCCACGCCGUAAACACUGGACACUAGGAGUUGGACAAAAGUUCAGUUCCGCAGCUAACGCGAUAAGUGUCCCGCCUGGGGAGUACGAUCGCAAGGUUGAACUCAAAGGAAUUGACGGGGCCUGCACAGCGGUGGAGCAUGUGGUUAAUUCGAUGAUACGCGAGACCUUACUGGACUUGACAUCUGUUGAUCGCUCUGGAAAAGAGUUUCCCGAUUUUCGGACAGCAG